rnacentral:rRNA from 1 species
UACGGAAGGGGCAAGCGUUGUUCGGAAUCAUUGGGCGUAAAGGGCGCGUAGGUGGUUCUGUAUGUCUACCGUGAAAGCAUACGGCUCAACUGUAUUUUGUCGGUAGAAACUGCAGGACUUGAGGCUGGGAGGGGCUGGUGGAAUUCCCUGUGUAGCGGUGAAAUGCGUAGAGAUGGGGGAGAACACUCGUGGCGAAGGCGGCCAGCUAGACCAGUUCUGACACUGAGGCGCGACAGCGUGGGGAGCAAACAGG